rnacentral:lncRNA from 1 species
AAGUGGGUGACGUUGAUCAAGGCACUGGGCUCACACGGGCCGCGCCCCGCGUGAUCUGUUGUCUCCAGGCAGACUGCCCCACUUGGGGCGAUUCUUUGAUCCCUGCUUCCUAUAUGGCAAGCCAGGGACUGAAGCUUACGAUUAGAUUGGACAAUCUAUAAGGUGCUAGCUGCAUUCCUGGUCUGGGAGCAGGGAGACUGUCUGACCCCUGUGUCACACUGGAUGGUUUUACAGAGGUGCCCCACCUGAUCCUGGAUGGACGUCAUCACCCUACAGUGGUCCUUUCAUGACAGGCCGCAGGGUCACCAUAUGACAAACAGGACACAUCUGCCACAACUGGGAGAUGGGGCUGCUUCCCAAAGGACCCUGUGCCAGCCCAGUCUCUGUGGUGACUUGGUUCCAGGGGAGGCUGCACUUGACAGCACCUUCCUUAAAGAGGAGGCGUCGAUACAGAUCUAGGCCCGAAGAUGCUGUUGCAGUGGGUGUAAUAACAAAAGCUGGCUGUGACCGUAACAUUCAGGGACCAAGGAUAGGGACCAGAGGCAGAUCACGGUCACAUAACAAGGCAGAAAAAAUGACAUUCAUGCAGAAUUUUAAUGAUGUAGGGGAACUGUGUGUGGUGUAAACGUGUGUAAAACUGAGGAUACGUGGAUAUAUGCGUGUAGAUAACUUCAACAAAGAGCAAUGAAGAAGUCCAACAGUGUGCCCUGCUCGAACUCCAUGAAAUUGAAGCAUGGCCAGGAAGAAGACAGGAUGGACUGGGAGAAAACAGGAGAGGUGGAGGAGAUGUCUCAGUUGGCAAAGUGCUCCCUGUGCAGGCCUGAGUUCGAUUCUCAGACUCCACACGGAAAAGCCAGGCGUGAUAGCACGUGCUUGCAACUCCCAGCACAAAAGAGGUGGACAUGG